CGUGGGCAACCUGCCCCUAGCUCUGGGAUAAGCCCGGGAAACCGGGUCUAAUACCGGAUACGAGAUCGGAAGGCAUCUUCUGAUUUGGAAAGUUUCUCGGCUAGGGAUGGGCCCGCGGCCUAUCAGCUUGUUGGUGGGGUAACGGCCUACCAAGGCGACGACGGGUAGCCGGCCUGAGAGGGCGACCGGCCACACUGGGACUGAGACACGGCCCAGACUCCUACGGGAGGCAGCAGUGGGGAAUAUUGCACAAUGGGCGAAAGCCUGAUGCAGCGACGCCGCGUGAGGGAUGACGGCCUUCGGGUUGUAAACCUCUUUCAGCAGGGACGAAGCGAAAGUGACGGUACCUGCAGAAGAAGCACCGGCCAACUACGUGCCAGCAGCCGCGGUAAUACGUAGGGUGCAAGCGUUGUCCGGAAUUAUUGGGCGUAAAGAGCUCGUAGGCGGUUUGUCACGUCGGCUGUGAAAACCUGGGGCUCAACC
rnacentral:rRNA from 1 species